GGAAUAUUGCACAAUGGGCGCAAGCCUGAUGCAGCUACGCCGCGUGGGGGAUGAAGGCCUUCGGGUUGUAAACUCCUUUCAACCAUGACGAAGCGUAAGUGACGGUAGUUGUAGAAGAAUCACCGGCUAACUACGUGCCAGCAUCCGCGGUAAUACGUAGGGUGCGAGCGUUGUCCGGAAUUACUGGGCGUAAAGAGCUCGUAGGUGGUUUGUCGCGUCGUCUGUGAAAUUCCGGGGCUCAACUCCGGGCGUGCAGGCGAUACGGGCAUAACUUGAGUGCUGUAGGGGAGACUGGAAUUCCUGGUGUAGCGGUGAAAUGCGCAGAUAUCAGGAGGAACACCAAUGGCGAAGGCAGGUCUCUGGGCAGUAACUGACGCUGAGGAGCGAAAGCAUGGGUAGCGA
rnacentral:rRNA from 1 species